rnacentral:rRNA from 1 species
UAGUCCACGCCGUAAACGAUGGAUACUAGCUGUCCGCUGCCUUGAGCAGUGGGCGGCCAAGCGAAAGUGAUAAGUAUCCCACCUGGGGAGUACGUUCGCAAGAAUGAAACUCAAAGGAAUUGACGGGGGCCCGCACAAGCGGUGGAGCAUGUGGUUUAAUUCGAUGAUACGCGAGGAACCUUACCAGGGCUUAAAUGCAGAGCGACCGUUCUGGAAACAGAACUUUCUUCGGACGGUUUGCAAGGUGCUGCAUGGUUGUCGUCAGCUCGUGCCGUGAGGUGUCGGGUUAAGUCCCAUAACGAGCGCAACCCCUAUUCUUAGUUGCCAGCGAGUAAUGUCGGGGACUCUAGGAAAACUGCCAGUGUAAGCUGUGAGGAAGGUGGGGAUGACGUCAAAUCAUCACGGCCCUUACGUCCUGGGCUACACACGUGCUACAAUGGUUGGUACAGAGGGCAGCUACCCAGUGAUGGGAUGCGAAUCUCUAAAGCCAGCCCUAGUUCGGAUUG